rnacentral:rRNA from 1 species
CCUACGGGUGGCAGCAGUGAGGAAUAUUGGUCAAUGGGCGGGAGCCUGAACCAGCCAAGUCGCGUGAGGGACGACGGUCCUAUGGAUUGUAAACUUCUUUUGUCGGGGCACAAAGGCGCCCACUGGUGGGCGGAUGAGUGUACCCGAAGAACAAGCAUCGGCUAACGCCGUGCCAGCAGCCGCGGUCAUACGGAGGAUGCGAGCGUUAUCCGGAUUUAUUGGGUUAAAAGGGUGCGUAGGGGGACGGUCAAGUCAGCGGUAAAAAUGCGGUGCUAAACGCCGUACAGCCGUUGAAACUGGCAGUCUUGAGUGGGCGAGAGGUAUGCGGAAUGCGUGGUGUAGCGGUGAAAUGCAUAGAUAUCACGCAGAACACCGAUUGCGAAGGCAGCAUACCGGCGCCCUACUGACGCUGAGGCACGAAAGCGUGGGUAUCGAACAGGAUUAGAUACCCUAGUAGUC